GAUGAACGCUGGCGGCGUGCCUAAUACAUGCAAGUCGAGCGAAUGGAUUAAGAGCUUGCUCUUAUGAAGUUAGCGGCGGACGGGUGAGUAACACGUGGGUAACCUGCCCAUAAGACUAGGAUAACUCCGGGAAACCGGGGCUAAUACCGGAUAACAUUUUGAACCGCAUGGUUCGAAAUUGAAAGGCGGCUUCGGCUGUCACUUAUGGAUGGAUCCGCGGCGCAUUGGCUAGUUGGUGAGGUAACGGCUCACCAAGGCAACGAUGCGUAGCCGACCGGAGAGGGUGAGCGGCCACACUGGGACUGGGACACGGCCCAGACUCCUACGGGAGGCAGCAGUAGGGAAUCUUCCGCAAUGGACGAAAGUCUGACGGAGCAACGCCGCGUGAGUGAUGAAGGCUUUCGGGUCGUAAGACUCUGUUGUUAGGGAAGAACAAGUGCUAGUUGAAUAAGCUGGCACCUUGACGGUACCUAACCAGAAAGCCACGGCUAACUACGUGCCAGCAGCCGCCGUAA
rnacentral:rRNA from 1 species